AAAAAAUCUAAAACUUUUGUUCAGCAGCUGCUCCGCUUUUCACUGCAGUUUCAGACUGAGCUGGAACCUGCAGCAGUCUUUCGACGGUCCCUUCAAUCCUAUGAAAAUGGAACUGUAAAACCAAAUGAAAACAGCAGUUCAGAAGUAUUCUCUGGGCCAAGACAAAACCAGCCUGGAUUUUCUCACCCUUACUCACAGUGAACAUUGAGAAGCUGGUGCAGAGCUAGAUCAAAUGAGUUACCCUAUACUCUUCAAUAAGGCAAAGGAAGCCAAAAAUAGAACCUC
rnacentral:lncRNA from 12 species